ACAAACUUGGUCAUUUAGAGGAAGUAAAAGUCGUAACAAGGUCUCCGUUGGUGAACCAGCGGAGGGAUCAUUAUAGAGUUCUAAAAAGACUCCCAAACCCAUGUGGAACAUACCUCUCGUUGCCUCGGCAGGUCGCGCCUACCCGGUUGCCUCUUACCCUGUAAGACGUACCCUGUAAGCGCGGGUAAGCCUGCCGGCGGACCAACAAACGCUGUUUAAUAUUGUAUUUCUGACCUUAUAACUUAAUAAGUUAAAACUUUCAACAACGGAUCUCUUGGUUCUGGCAUCGAUGAAGAACGCAGC
rnacentral:misc_RNA from 1 species